AACGAACGCUGGCGGCAUGCCUAACACAUGCCAGUCGAACGAAACCUUCGGGUCUAGUGGCGCACGGGGGCGUAACGCGUGGGAACCUUCCCUUAUGUUCGGAAUAACUCCCCGAAAGGGGUGCUAAUACCGGAUAAGGUCUUCUGACCAAAGAUUUAUCGCCUUUGGAUGGUCCCGCGUUGGAUUAGCUAGUUGGUAGGGUAAAAGCCUACCAAGGCGACGAUCCAUAGCUGGUAUGAGAGGAUGAUCAGCGACACUGGGACUGAGACACGGCCCAGAAUCCUACGGGAGGCAGCAGUGGGGAAUAUUGGAACAUGGGCGAAAGCCUGAUCCAGCAAUGACGGGUGAGUGAUGAAGGCAUUAGGGUUGUAAAGCUCUUUUAACCGGGAUGAUAAUGACAGUACCGGGAGAAUAAGCUACGGCUAACUACGUG
rnacentral:rRNA from 1 species